CCCAAUUGCUCGGCCAACCUCUUUCUCGACUCCCCUAAACACUCCAUUGCCCGUUCUCACAUUUCCGUUCCUUUCGCUUUCUCAAUUUCAAUCACUUCCUUCCUUGCUAUAUUCUCUUCUUCCAUAUGUAAGUCUGUUUCUUCUUCUAUUUGCAUCAGUUCUUCCAGCAAUUCUUCUCGUUCUGUUAAUUCAUCUCCCCCUUCUCCUGUCGCUCGCAUCUCUCUUGCCAACCUUGCUCUGUGCUUCUUUGAUAAGCUGUUGUAGUGGUCCCUCACAGACCUGGGUGUCAACUCCGUGUCAAAAAUUGGGUUUAAAUUAUUGGCAACGGUUUGCCACCCCGACCCUCUCUCUCUCAACUUCUCCUUCUUGGCGAACAGCCCCUCUGCUGCAACCUCCCUU
rnacentral:lncRNA from 1 species